UACGGAGGGAGCUAGCGUUGUUCGGAAUUACUGGGCGUAAAGCGCGCGUAGGCGGUCAUUCAAGUCAGAGGUGAAAGCCCGGGGCUCAACCCCGGAACUGCCUUUGAAACUAGAUGACUAGAAUCUUGGAGAGGUCAGUGGAAUUCCGAGUGUAGAGGUGAAAUUCGUAGAUAUUCGGAAGAACACCAGUGGCGAAGGCGACUGACUGGACAAGUAUUGACGCUGAGGUGCGAAAGCGUGGGGAGCAAACAGG
rnacentral:rRNA from 1 species